CACCCAAAUCAUUACUCAAAGUUUUCCGUGCGCAUUCGCGUCAACUCUUUGCCAACGUCGCGCUGUUACUGGCCGCUGUGCCAAACGUGCAAAUGUAUCGCAAUGUCCCGCCGCUUUUAAUGUACGGCACUAAAAGCUUGCCCCCGAACGUGCCUCGAGAGGAGAGGAACAUUGGAAGAAAAACGUUCUCAGAUGUUAACAACACGUGUCUCCCGGUGUACGGGAGAAAACGUGCCGAUACGAACGUACUGCCCCAGGUCGCAUAAUUUAGAAACAAUAUGGAAUACAUACAACAUCGAAUAUGCAUCAAUGCCUAUGUGUGUGUGUGUGUGAUAUGUGAUCGAUCGUAUUGAAUUGAGAUACAUGAGCCGGGGGGAGCGUGCUUGAUGGCAACUGCCUAUAACAGAGUCUUAUCGCCAAACGCAGCAGCGAGCACAGUUAUCGCGCUUCGCGUAAGCGCAGGGUCCGGAAGAUGGAGAAGCGGAGUUCGUGAGCAUGACUAGCGCGUUUCUGGUCGAAACAACUGGGCAGAUAUCUUCCCAACCCAACGGCCGGACGACACCGCCGCACGAUGACUUUCAAAUGACUGCGAUCGUGCAAUGGAAUUGAUGUGCCGCGAGCAGAUUCUAUUUUGAGCAGUUUUUGGCAAGCGCUGGAAGCAAAAUUACUUACGAAUCUCGUACACCACAUCCGGGUUGAGCUUCUGGAGCAGCGAGAUUACGUGCUUCGUUUGGCAUAAUGAGUGCAUCCAGUCGGUAGCAAACGAUCCAUUUUGCUUGGAACUCCCUCGCGCCCAUUAGUCCCCAUUAAGUGACCUCCAGUGGUGGUUGUGGUGUGUCAAAAGGUCGGCUUUGAAAUUCUAAUUGCCUGCAGCAAACGUUAGCUCAUCCAAGUAGUCUGGGCGUUGGAUAUUGUCCCAGCGACACAGCAAAAUGGACGUCGGGUUUCGUGCCGUUAAUGAGGGGAUGAUAUUGUCAGCCCUUUAUUUAUUACUUUAGUGCAAAGAAGCAUGGAAGACCAGGACAGCAAAACAAAAAAAAAAACAAUAAAAAAGAUACGAAAUUGAUGUGCUAUGUCCUUUCAAUAAAGUGUGCGUGUGUACACCAGGGCAAUCGAA